AGAAGGAUUUGUAUAGUCAUACCUCCACGGUAUGAUUUGUAGUGUCCCAGUUGACCAAGUGACAGCUAUGAAUUCUGAAAAAAUAUGUCAAUCACUCCCAUGAGAGUGAAGCAAAGCCAAUGGCAUGCAGAAACCAGAGGGGCAUCUAACUUAAAGAAGGGCAGUGUGGUGCCCCACC